GAUGAAGAACGUAGCGAAAUGCGAUACUUGGUGUGAAUUGCAGAAUCCCGUGAACCAUCGAGUCUUUGAACGCAAGUUGCGCCCGAAGCCGUCAGGCCGAGGGCACGCCUGCCUGGGCGUCACACGCCGUUGCCCCCCCGCGCCCCGCACCCAACUCUUUGGGAGCGACCGCGGGGCGGGCUGAUGAUGGCCUCCCGUGCGCUCCGCCGCGCGGUUGGCCCAAAUACCGAGUCCCCGGCGACGUGCGCCACGACGACCGGUGGUUGAGAGACCUCUGUCGCAAGUCGUGCGCGCCCGUCGCGUCACGCGGGCUCGCAUAGCGCCUCGCGCCGCACCCGGUGCGGAGCUUUCAACGCGACCCCAGGUCAGGCGGGGUUACCCGCUGAAUUUAAGCAUAUCAAUAAGCGGAGGA
rnacentral:misc_RNA from 1 species